rnacentral:rRNA from 1 species
UAGCGUAGGGUGCAAGCGUUAAUCGGAAGUUACUGGGCGUAAAGCGUGCGCAGGCGGUUUUGUAAGUCUGGUCGUCGAAAAGCCCCGGGCUCAACCUGGGAAAUGGCAAUGGAUACUGGCAGGCUGAGGAGUGCGGUAGAGGUAGUGGAAUUCCCGGUGUAGCGGUGAAAUGCGUAGAGAUCGGGAGGAACACCCGUGGCGAAGGCGGCUCUCUGGGACGGUACUGACGCGAGACGCGAAAGC